rnacentral:tRNA from 1 species
GCAGCUGUAGCCUAGUUGGUAAGGCAACAGACUCGAACUCUGUCGGAAAAUAGGUGCC